AGGAUGAACGCUGGCGGCGUGCUUAACACAUGCAAGUCGAACGGUGAAAGAGGAGCUUGCUCCUCUGGAUCAGUGGCGAACGGGUGAGUAACACGUGAGUAACCUGCCCUUGACUCUGGGAUAAGCGUUGGAAACGACGUCUAAUACCGGAUACGACCUCCGAAGGCAUCUUCUGGAGGUGGAAAGAAUUUCGGUCAAGGAUGGACUCGCGGCCUAUCAGCUAGUUGGCGAGGUAAUGGCCCACCAAGGCGACGACGGGUAGCCGGCCUGAGAGGGUGACCGGCCACACUGGGACUGAGACACGGCCCAGACUCCUACGGGAGGCAGCAGUGGGGAAUAUUGCACAAUGGGCGCAAGCCUGAUGCAGCAACGCCGCGUGAGGGACGACGGCCUUCGGGUUGUAACCUCUUUAGUAGGGAAGAAGCGAAAGUGACGGUACCUGCAGAAAAGCACCGGCUAACUACGCGCCAGCAGCCGCGGU
rnacentral:rRNA from 1 species